rnacentral:rRNA from 2 species
UCCGUAGGUGAACCUGCGGAAGGAUCAUUAAAGAUUUUGGGCUUUUAACCCGAUCGUUCAGCUGUGCGCCUUUUACCGGGCUGCACGCUGGAGCAAGACCCCACACCUGUGCACCUUUUCGGUUGCGGCUUCGGUCGCUGCCGCUUUUAAAUGCAACAACUCAGUCUCGAAUGUUAACAAAACCAUAAAAAGUAACAACUUUCAACAACGGAUCUCUUGGCUCUCGCAUCGAUGAAGAACGCAGCGAAAUGCGAUAAGUAAUGUGAAUUGCAGAAUUCAGUGAAUCAUCGAAUCUUUGAACGCAUCUUGCGCUCCUUGGUAUUCCAUGGAGCAUGCCUGUUUGAGUGUCACGUAAACCCUCACCCCUGCGAUGUAACAGUCGCUCGCGGUGGACUUGGACUGUGCCGUAACCGGCUCGUCUUGAAAUGCAUUAGCUGGCGCUUUUAGAGUGCUGGGCGACGGUGUGAUAAUUAUCUGCGCCAAUGCCUUACGGCCUCUUCAGCGGUGCUGCUUACAGCCGUCCUUCCUGCUGACACAUUUUUUAAAGCUUUGGCCUCACAUCAGGUAGGACUACCCGCUGAUCUUACAGCAGCGUCAUCAAUAAGCGGAGGAA